AGAGUUUGAUCCUGGCUCAGGAUGAACGCUAGCGGCAGGCCUAACACAUGCAAGUCGAGGGGUAACGAUGGUGCUUGCACCAGGCGACGACCGGCGCACGGGUGAGUAACGCGUAUGCAAUCUACCUUUAACUGGGGAAUAGCCCGAAGAAAUUCGGAUUAAUGUCCCAUAACAUAAUGAUAUCGCAUGAUAUUAUUAUUAAAGCUCCGGCGGUUAAGGAUGAGCAUGCGUGACAUUAGGUAGUUGGUAAGGUAACGGCUUACCAAGCCUACGAUGUCUAGGGGGCCUGAGAGGGUAGUCCCCCACACUGGUACUGAGACACGGACCAGACUCCUACGGGAGGCAGCAGUGAGGAAUAUUGGUCAAUGGACGCAAGUCUGAACCAGCCAUGCCGCGUGCAGGAAGACGGCUCUAUGAGUUGUAAACUGCUUUUAUACGGGAAUAACCAUAGCUACGUGUAGUUAUCUGAAUGUACCGUACGAAUAAGCACCGGCUAACUCCGUGCCAGCAGCCGCGGUAAUACGGAGGGUGCAAGCGUUAUCCGGAUUUAUUGGGUUUAAAGGGUGCGUAGGCGGAAGAAUAAGUCAGUGGUGAAAUCUUGCAGCUUAACUGUAAAACUGCCAUUGAUACUGUUUUUCUUGAGUAUAGUUGAGGUAGGCGGAAUGUGUAAUGUAGCGGUGAAAUGCUUAGAUAUUACACAGAACACCGAUUGCGUAGGCAGCUUACUAAGCCAUAACUGACGCUGAUGGACGAAAGCGUGGGUAGCGAACAGGAUUAGAUACCCUGGUAGUCCACGCCGUAAACGAUGAUCACUCGUUGUUGGCAAUACAUCGUCAGCGACUGAGCGAAAGCAUUAAGUGAUCCACCUGGGGAGUACGGUCGCAAGAUUGAAACUCAAAGGAAUUGACGGGGGCC
rnacentral:rRNA from 1 species